rnacentral:rRNA from 1 species
CUCGCCUGUAUGAAGUCGGAAUUGCUAGUAAUCGCGGAUCAGCAUGCCGCGGUGAAUACGUUCCCGGGCCUUGUACACACCGCCCGUCACACCAUGAGAGCCGGGAACACCCGAAGUCCGUAGUCUAACCGCAAGGAGGACGCGGCCGAAGGUGGGUUUGGUAAUUGGGGUGAAGUCGUAACAAGGUAAC